rnacentral:lncRNA from 1 species
AAUUUUCUUGUGAAUAGAAAAUGUUGCAAUACAAACAUUAAAAACUUGAUUUUUUUUAUUCAAGCAUAUUGGUAAAAGUUUGCUAUUGAUUGUGAAGAGAAAUAUUCACCUGAAGUGAAAUCAAAAUUCUUCUCUUACUUGAUUAAGGUUGUUAACACAUGGAAGAUUGAAUUUAUUUGAAAAAUGUGUUACGCUAUGUUUAUAUGUCACUUGUUAGCGUGGAUUAUAUAAAACUCCAUGAAGAAUUUAAUUUCCACGAGACAUACAUUUCAAACUAUCGAAGAGAUGACUUAAUGAAAUGAAUAAGUCACUUUGGAAAUGAAUUUGUUAUAUGAUGAC